UUGCACCUCCAUUAGCCUGCAGUUUAGCUCAUCAGCCAAUUCUCAGUAUAAUAUGCGUUAUUGAACUAUUGACAAACAAAUUGAUUUUAUACUAAAAUCCAUUUCUGACUCCUAGGGGAAGUUACCUUUGCCACUAUGAUCAUUUGAGUUGUACUGCCAAUUUAAUCUGUGCUGUGUCACAUUAGUAUCGAGUUGCAGUUGAUUUAACGCAAAUGGAAGACCACAAAUAGCUCCUGCAGCAACAGGUACUUUGCCUAAUAAGCAAACACUCCCGACUACAUCUCCCAUGGAGCUUCGCUGUAGGAUAUGGGAGGCUGAAGGGUUCAUUUGAGACUACUGGAUAAUUUUCUAGUAAAAUGAGGGGUGCAAUUACUGUUCACCAAGGUGGGGAGAAUGUUAAGAGGGCAGACAUACAGGUGAUACUCGAAAAAUUAGAAUAUUGUGUAAAAGUUCAUUUGUUUCAAUAAU